GAUGAACGCUGGCGGCGUGCCUAAUACAUGCAAGUCGAGCGAACGGACGAGAAGCUUGCUUCUCUGAUGUUAGCGGCGGACGGGUGAGUAACACGUGGAUAACCUACCUAUAAGACUGGGAUAACUUCGGGAAACCGGAGCUAAUACCGGAUGAUAUUUUGCACCGCAUGGUUCAAAAGUGAAAGACGGUCUUGCUGUCACUUAUAGAUGGAUCCGCGCUGCAUUAGCUAGUUGGUAAGGUAACGGCUUACCAAGGCAACGAUGCAUAGCCGACCUGAGAGGGUGAUCGGCCACACUGGAACUGAGACACGGUCCAGACUCCUACGGGAGGCAGCAGUAGGGAAUCGUCCGCAAUGGGCGAAAGCCUGACGGAGCAACGCCGCGUGAGUGAUGAAGGUCUUCGGAUCGUAAAACUCUGUUAUUAGGGAAGAACAUAUGUGUAAGUAACUGUGCACAUCUUGACGGUACCUAAUCAGAAAGCCACGGCUAACUACGUG
rnacentral:rRNA from 1 species